AAACUGCUCCUAGGCUUGCGGGAGCAGAACAGAUACUUGCCCUCCUGGCUGCUCCCAGUAUAUAAGUUGGUAGGGAGAACAUGACACCUUUCCACCUCAGGGCCCUCCUGGGUUUCAGUCACCUCCUUGUUUUGAGAACCUCUGCCACCAUGUUCUGUUUUCCAGGUGCAACACGUGGUGUCUCAGAACUGCGACGGGCUCCACCUGCGCAGUGGGCUGCCACGGACCGCCAUCUCUGAGCUCCAUGGGAAUAUGUAUAUUGAAGUGAGCAGUGCCCAGAGGACUCAGGGCCUGGGGGACAAGCAGAUGUCACUCACUGUGCCCUCUCUUCCUCAGGUCUGCACCUCCUGCAUCCCUAACAGAGAGUACGUCCGAGUGUUUGACGUGACGGAGCGUACCGCCCUUCACCGACACCUGACAGGCCGGACGUGCCACAAGUGUGGGACUCAGCUUCGGGACACCAUUGUGCACUUUGGGGAGAGGGGGACGCUAGGGCAGCCCCUGAACUGGGAGGCAGCGACUGAGGCCGCUAGCAAAGCAGACACAAUCCUGUGUUUAGGGUCCAGCUUGAAGGUAUGUGCUGCUGACAGUGCCAUGGAUGCACUGUGGAUUGAGCGUGUUACUGGCCCGCCUCCCCAGAGCUAUUAACACCAGCGGGCAGUAGACUGGCAUCUAAAGCAUCGUCCUCUACUGCGUGUGUCUGUCCACUCGUACAGGUACUGAAGAAGUACCCCCGUCUCUGGUGCAUGACGAAGCCCCCAAGCCGUCGGCCCAAACUCUACAUUGUGAACCUGCAGUGGACCCCGAAGGAUGACUGGGCUGCCCUGAAGCUUCAUGGGAAAUGUGAUGAUGUAAUGCGGCUCCUCAUGGACGAACUGGGCCUGGAGAUCCCUGUCUACAACCGGUGGCAGGACCCAAUCUUCUCCUUGGCAACUCCACUCCGUGCUGGCGAAGAAGGUAGCCACAGUAGGAAGUCACUGUGCAGGAGCAGAGAAGAGCCCCCACCCGGGGACCAGAGUGCCCCUCUUGCCUCAGCCACCCCCAUCCUAGGAGGCUGGUUCGGCAGGGGCUGUGCU
rnacentral:lncRNA from 1 species